AUCCACAGAAGAAUCCAGAGAUGGAUUUGUGCCUUCGGGAACUGUGAGACAGGUGCUGCAUGGCUGUCGUCAGCUCGUGUUGUGAAAUGUUGGGUUAAGUCCCGCAACGAGCGCAACCCUUAUCCUUUGUUGCCAGCGAUUAGGUCGGGAACUCAAAGGAGACUGCCAGUGAUAAACUGGAGGAAGGUGGGGAUGACGUCAAGUCAUCAUGGCCCUUACGACCAGGGCUACACACGUGCUACAAUGGCGCAUACAAAGAGAAGCGACCUCGCGAGAGCAAGCGGACCUCAUAAAGUGCGUCGUAGUCCGGAUUGGAGUCUGCAACUCGACUCCAUGAAGUCGGAAUCGCUAGUAAUCGUGGAUCAGAAUGCCACGGUGAAUACGUUCCCGGGCCUUGUACACACCGCCCGUCACACCAUGGGAGUGGGUUGCAAAAGAAGUAGGUAGCUUAACCUUCGGGAGGGCGCUUACCACUUUGUGAUUCAUGACUGGGGUGAAGUCGUAACAAGGUAACCGUAGGGGAACCUGCGGUUGGA
rnacentral:rRNA from 1 species